UUCAACGUUAGAGAGAGAGAGAGAGAGAGAGAGAUAGAGCAGCGUGGAGAAGAAGAGGAAGAAGAGUGACGGGGGAAGAUUGGAACCUCAAUUUCAGUAGGUGACGAGUCGGUGAAUCAAGGAGCACCGAAACCAUAGUUGUACUUUCUUUUGGAGUACGAGUUUUGCAGGCGUUGUAGAUAUCCACUGCUGAUCGUUGUGUGGUUGUACCCUCGCUUAGGGUAGCACGUCGGGAAGGCUGGACGAGUUUUGGCAAAAUUUUGUAGAUAGGGAUCUAGUUGCAGC